rfam:Moniliophthora roreri MCA 2997 sctg_0048_0006, whole genome shotgun sequence.
GAUCCCUUAGCUCAGCGGUAGAGCGUCUGAUUCCAGUUAACGGGCAAUGUACAUUCCUUACUGGCUUCCAGAAGGUCAUCCGUUCAAUCCGGGUAGGGGUCA